rnacentral:lncRNA from 10 species
UAGCCACAGGGUUCUUUAGAGGCCACUUUCUUCAAGUCUCUAAUUUUGCAUAUGAGAAACACUAAGACUCAGCAGAUAAGGAUGGAGGCGACUCAACAUCACACUGAGACAGGUCAUCUGGGACCCAUGGUUUCUAACUUCUAGACCGAAUCUCUUUCUUUCGAAUGUCCAGAUCAUCUCUCCUUCUUCUAAAAACCAAAGAGGCCUCUGCAUGCCUCUCCCUGGAUAUGAGCCCUGCAUUUCUGAAUGCCUUGAAAGAAAAACCAGCAAGUUGGGAGGGCCGUGUCUCCUUAUCAUCUUCCAGGAAUUCAAAACCGUGAUUUCCAGUUUCCAAAUGCAACUCAAGCUCCAUCACCCUGUACAUCUUGCACGGUUUCUCCAGCAUAUCCUGAUCGCCACCUCCAGACCCUUCUGAUAGAUUCAUUACCUGAAUCUAUUUGAUCCUGAACUCCUGCUCUCCCUUGGCUCAACCUCAUCACAGCCAGAAAGGAUGAGAGCUCUUUAAUGAAGUGCAUACAUGUCAGUUUCCCAGGACACAAACCAAAGUA